GGCGCCUCGCAGCCGCCCUCCGCCAUGGGCCGGAGUCGCGUGCUCCCCGGGCCCCGCGGACCGCACUCCGGCGCGGCCCCGUGGCGCGUCCUGCUGACCUGGAGCCCGCGCGGACGAGGAGGUUUUUAAGACGUGCACUGAUGUGCUCUUGAGCAAAGGCUGAGUUCUGGAGCCUACGUCUACACAGAGAUGGCAUGCUGACCCGAGGCCUGCAUUCUUGGGCUCUCCUCUGGUCUUGAUCUGUCUUGAGUCUGACAAGCCCACUGUCGCUGUGGAGUCUGCAGGUACAAGGGUUCAUCUGAAGUUGUGCUGGGCCUAUUAACCGGUGGCAGAUAAACAUUGCUGUCUACAUUGGGCUGUGAGCCAGAGCGUCAUAUGUCAAGAUCAGCCUGAACAUCUGAGAGCUGGUUCAUCACCUACAGUUCGACCAAAAUGAUUAAUAAACUUUAUGUUCAUAA